ACUUAUUGUACAUCGCAAGAAAUAAUCAGAUUACUUGUGAAAUGAAGAGUUAUGCAAUAGUCUGACCUUUAUAUAUAAAGCACUAACAUCAAGAGCAUCAGUCCUGCUGUCAGGUUUCUGUCACACACAAUAAUGAUUUGGAAAGAGAAACUAUUGCUUUGGUCUUUCUUUGUUUCAAUCUUCCUGCUUCCACAGGCUAAAUGUGGUCCUGUGAAUGCAGUUGAAGAGACAGUUUUGAAUGGCGAUCAUUCAGCUCCCUUUGUGGCACUCAAGAAUCUUCUACAAAGAAAACCAAGAGCUGUAGAGGUAGGGUUGGUUAUUACGCUUUACCAUGCAAUUUUACAUGUCCUUUACAUUAUUAUGAGACAUGUUAACACAUUUUACCUUUCUCAUUAUCUUUCUGUCAACUACCAAGGACUGUUCAGGUAUGUGCUUUUUAUUUUUUAAUUAUGGCAAAUUAAGUUAACUUGAUUUAAGUUUGGAAAACAGAGCUAGGUUUUACUCGACACCAAAGAAAAAGCAGAUUGUUUGCCGAUUUCCCACAAAAUCAGCUGCUCGCCCUUUUUCUUAUGUGAAACAUAAAAGGCAUAAAAGCAAUGCGUAAUGUGUCACUGUCAAAUGCAUUUAUUCCCAAUAUUUUCCUAAACCCCUUAAAUAAAGCUCAAGUCUAUUUACACAUAAAUAAAG